rnacentral:rRNA from 1 species
GGGAGGUAGUGACAAUAAAUAACAAUACAGGGCUCUUACGGGUCUUGUAAUUGGAAUGAGUACAAUUUAAAUCCCUUAACGAGGAACAAUUGGAGGGCAAGUCUGGUGCCAGCAGCCGCGGUAAUUCCAGCUCCAAUAGCGUAUAUUAAAGUUGCUGCAGUUAAAAAGCUCGUAGUUGAAUUUCGGGACCAUCAUGUCGGUCGUGCCUCGGUACGUACUGGCAUCGUCGGUUUCUCCCUUCUGACGAACCAUGAUGUCAUUUAUUUGGUGUCGUGGGGAAUCAGGACUGUUACUUUGAAAAAAUUAGAGUGUUUAAAGCAGGCUCACGCUUGAAUACAUUAGCAUGGAAUAAUGAAAUAGGACGUUUGAUUCUAUUUUGUUGGUUUCUAGGAUCGACGUAAUGAUUAAUAGGGAUAGUUGGG